AGAGUCUGAAUUUAUUUGGCCUCU
rnacentral:piRNA from 1 species